rnacentral:rRNA from 1 species
AUUGAACGCUGGCGGCAGGCCUAACACAUGCAAGUCGAGCGGUAACAGAUCUAGCUUGCUAGAUGCUGACGAGCGGCGGACGGGUGAGUAACGCGUAGGAAUCUACCCAGUAGAGGGGGAUAGCCCGGGGAAACUCGGAUUAAUACCGCAUAAUCUCUAAGGAUAAAGGGGGCUUCGGCUCUCGCUAUUGGAUGAGCCUGCGUGGGAUUAGCUAGUUGGUGAGGUAAAGGCUCACCAAGGCGACGAUCUCUAACUGGUCUGAGAGGAUGAUCAGUCACACUGGAACUGAGACACGGUCCAGACUCCUACGGGAGGCAGCAGUGGGGAAUAUUGCACAAUGGGCGCAAGCCUGAUGCAGCCAUGCCGCGUGUGUGAAGAAGGCCUUCGGGUUGUAAAGCACUUUCAGUGGGGAGGAAGGCCAAGUAGUUAAUACCUGCUUGGAUUGACGUUACCCACAGAAGAAGCACCGGCUAACUCCGUG